rnacentral:lncRNA from 1 species
AUGGUUUAUGGGGGAAGAUGGGGAAGGAAACGCUCACCAGUUCUGCACAAACACCAUCUUCUCCAUGUUUUUUUUCCAUGUUUCUUGAAGAGAGCUGCAGGAGAUCAAGAAGGCUGUGAACAGAACCUCUUGAAAAUGUCAGGUAUCCUGGGAAAGGCAUGGCUGGUGAUCAAGUCUUGUGUGAUGUCACCUCCUUCAUCCAUGGGGCAACUUCUUUUUUGCAUGAACUUUGCAUAA